ACUACUGCACAUUCUUAAUCCGCUAUACCCCAAUACAAAAUAAAAAGUUUAAAGUUGAAAGAAGAAAAAAAAACAACAAGUCUCUCAAAAAAAACAAACAAAACACCAAUUUUCUAGGCAAGAUGCGGUGUUGGAAACUGGGCUUGGGCUAGGAUCUUGGCAACCCGGCCUUUCCCGACACCCUGGAGACAGGAGUCUUGCCCCUGAACUUCAGAGCCAUCUCCAUGUUCAUGUCUGUUACCGUGGCAAACCUGCUUGCCAGGCUCUGCUUCCUCGGGGCUCUCUACGUUAGCGCCUGUUGCAACACCCGAGUUCCUUCCCCUCGCGGUUGGUGCGCCUGGCUGGGCCCAGCACAGCCUAGUUACCUCUGUGCUUUCCCGCCUCCCAGCUUGCAGCUACUGCCUGCAGCUGAGUCCACUGCUGUCACGCCUGCUCCCAAUCUCUGCUUUUCUCUUAGAUCUCCAUCUGAGAGAAGAGGGUGGGUUUUACCAACCACAUCUUGAUUUGGAUCGCAUCCUCAAUUAUCAGUGAUAGAGUUUCAGUUAUGUGCCCCGUGCAGAUACAGGGAUAAAGGGAUAAGCUGUAGAUGCCAGUCUCAGGAAACAUCACAAAUAAGAGUGGACCCUCCCCAGUUGUGAGGGGAAGGAGAUAUUUCCGUUGAGGUAUUUAAGGUUUUAGAGGGACAGUAAGGUUAAAGGCAAGACAUUAUAAACCUUUGUAUUUUCUCUAAGACAUCAAGUGAAAGUGAAGUCGCUCAGUUGUGUCCGACUCUUUGCGACCCCAUGGACGGUAACCUACCAGGCUCCGAGGUCCAUGGGAUUUUCCAGGCAAGAAUACUGGACUGGGCUGACAGCAUGCUAAAUGAAGAGAGUAUCAGUGGAUUCUUCACGUCUUAAAUUACUAGGAUAGCUCUCCAGAGCACAUGCCACCAGGCCCUUCACACACAGAGAUCACUUCCUCCUCCUUGCAGUUGAAGGAGCACCAUUUUAAGUGAACAACGCAUUAGCAAGGUCUAAGAGGGGCGAUAAGGAGGAUCAAAGAGCAUGAAGUAACUGAUUCUACUUGGGAAGUUUGAGCAGGACAAGGAAAUGUGGGCCCUGACUCUUCGAGAAAUUGACCAGACAGAAAAGGAAGGAAAACCCUUUCCAGGGAGAUGGUAUAACAUGUGUAGAGGAUAGUCAGUUCAAUGAUCCCAAAAGAAGUACCAUGAAGUGGAGUGGUGAAUGAAGGGACAGGUGUCAUUCAAAACAAUUAAAUUUAAGAAAACUUCCACCUGGAAAAUAACUCUGGUGUUAACUAAUUCUCGAAAUGAAGAAUGCUAAUGCUGGAGUUUCAUUUGGAAAACUUCUGGUCUGACAUCUUCCUUCUGACAGAAGAGUCUGCUGCUGGAAAGAGUUCUGCCCACAGUCAUAAGUCAUACCAGGCUCUGGAUUUCAACUCCUGUGCUUUUGAGUUGCUGCAAGCCUAUGAGGUGAGGUGACUGGCCCAAGGUCAUGGCAGAACUGGGACCACCAGACUUUCCAUCGUGCCCUUAAUGGCUAGAGCCUCCUGCUGAGGGGGUCAGUACUUCUGAGUGCUACCCACCACAGAGCACUUGUGUGCUUAACUUCCCAAAGCUGACCUGCCACUCGAGACAACUGUAUUACUGUGAACCACUUCUUCCCAUGAAAAUGUAUAUCCCCACAUUUUUACUGUACAAAAAUAUUUGCUUGACCUCAUAGUAUUUCCCUUAACUUGUUGUUUGCUAGAACUCUUGUAAUAAUUGGUACAGCCGGAAAGAGAGAAAAGACUGACCUGAUAAAUAGUUUCCAUUUAGAAGUCACCCAUUUCCUACAAAUUGUUAGAGAAAAAGAAAAUGCAUUCAGACAGCCUUUUGUCUUUCAAGAUACACAGCUGCAUAAAAAGAAAGAGUUGCUGAUCAGUUUCUGCCCUUGGAAAAAAGUAGGAAAAAGCCUCAUUAAUUUAGACUUAAUUGUGAGUUUGUGAAUAUAUCAAUACAUGGAAUAGUAUUAAUAAGAUCAUCAGGAGAGAGAUUAAUUAGAAGGAAAAAGUUUUCAAGAUGUACAAGCAGGUGAAGAAGUAAUUCUCUCUUGUUAACCAUUCUGUCCUUAGCAUCUACCAUAGUUCUUGGCAAAUAAUAUGUGCUCAAUAAGUUUGUGUGGAAAGAAAGAAUGAACAAAUGAUUAAAAUAAUAUAGUCAUGAACAGGCAUUGGCAAUACUUAGACUGGCGCCUGGAUAUGGUAAUCUAAUUGCAAAUCUUGCUUUGUUAUUUAUUAAAUUUGAAUCUCAAUGAAACAAGUUCUCAGUCUAGUUUUAAUUACCAUAGAUUCUUUAAAGUAAUAAAUCUGAAUUUCAUUAAAAGAAUUAUAUUAUCCAAACUUCAUUAAUGCACACUCCUCUUUUACUUUAUUUAGUAUGGCAUAGUGAAGUCUAAUUUCAUUGAAUGACCCAGAGGGAAGUAAGCGAUACCCAAUAGGAGACAAGAAAACUGAUUAAAGAAAAACUCCAUUGUUUACCUGAAUCUCUGUCUUUCUUUAUGAAAGUCAACCUCACCUAAGAGAGAGAGAAGACAUACAAUAUGUUUGUAGAGGCUAUGAAUAAAUGAACAUAGCUAUCUUUGUGGGUGCCUGAGAAACUGUUAGAAACUAUAGGAUAUAAUCACUGCUUUAAAGAUAGGACUCAAAAAAAAAUUCCUCUGCUCCAGCAAACACCAUCACCCACACAGAAGAAGCAAUGUUUAAAUCCAGUCAAUUAAGUAAAUUCUAUCAGAAUAGUACACUGCAUCUUACUCAACUUUGCAUAACCCUGGAAGUGAAAUAAACACCUAAAAUGUCAUCUUUUAAAAUAUUGUCCGAAUUCUUUAUUCUAACUUUGUCUCUUUUAUGUCUAUGUACUAGAUGAGUGUCAGUAAGUCAUUGUGCUUGAUUUCCCUGCUUAAGGCCAAACUGAAAUUGACACCCACUUAGUCAUGUCAGAUGGCUGACUCUGAUUGGCAAUGGC